UACUGUAUCAAAUAAACCAAAGCGAAAAAGGAAAGGUGGGGGGGGUAUUUAUAUUUUUUGCAUGCAUUGUAUUUUGAAAAUAUUACAAUGGUCCAAAGUCACAGACCUCCAUUGAUGUUUGUGUAAAUAUGGGCCUUCAACUUACAAAUGUUCUCUAUAAUAACUGUUUUCCAGAGGGUUUAACCAGGUUUUCCGAAGGAAAAAACUGGUUAUUAGAAUGGCGAAUGCGGGCGGGCUGGCUGGCGGGCGGGCGGAACAAGCUUGUCCGGGCCAUUACUAUGUCGUUCAUUGUCAGAUUUUAAAAUCAUUUGGCACAUUUGUUCACCAUCAUUGGACGGUGUGUCGCGCGAAAUAAUUACGUCGAUAUCUCCAAGGUCAAGGUCACACUUUGAGUUCAAAGGUCAAAAAUGGCCAUAAAUGAGCUUGUCCGAGCCAUAACUAUGUCGUUCAUCGUCAGAUUUUAAAAACAUUUGGCACAUUUGUUCACCAUCAUUGGACGGUGUGUCGCGCGAAAUAAUUACGUCGAUAUCUCCAAGGUCAAGGUCACACUUUGAGUUCAAAGGUCAAAAAUGGCCAUAAAUGAGCUUGUCCUGGCCAUAACUAUGUCAUUCAUUGUGAGAUUUUAAAAUCAUUUGGCACAUUUGUUCACCAUCAUGGGACGGUGUGUCCCACGAAAGAAUCACGUCAAUAUCUCCAAUGUCAAGGUCGCCACGACUAAAAAUAGAUUAAAAAAAAAAAAAAAAACUUACAAAGGGGGUUAAUUUUUUUUGGUCAUUUCAAAAGUUCAGUUU